rnacentral:rRNA from 1 species
GCGGAGGGAUCAUUACUGAGUGAGGGCUCACGCCCGACCUCCAACCCUUUGUGAACCAAACUUGUUGCUUCGGGGGCGACCCUGCCGACGACUCCGUCGCCGGGCGCCCCCGGAGGUCUUCUAAACACUGCAUCUUUGCGUCGGAGUUUAAAACAAAUUAAACAAAACUUUCAACAACGGAUCUCUUGGUUCUGGCAUCGAUGAAGAACGCAGCGAAAUGCGAUAAGUAAUGUGAAUUGCAGAAUUCAGUGAAUCAUCGAAUCUUUGAACGCACAUUGCGCCCUUUGGUAUUCCGAAGGGCAUGCCUGUUCGAGCGUCAUUUCACCACUCAAGCCUGGCUUGGUAUUGGGCGUCGCGGUGUUCCGCGCGCCUUAAAGUCUCCGGCUGAGCUGUCCGUCUCUAAGCGUUGUGGAUUUUUCAAUUCGCUUCGGAGUGCGGGUGGCCGCGGCCGUUAAAUCUUUAUUCAAAGGUUGACCUCGGAUCAGGUAGGGAUACCCGCUG